UUAAGGGAUUACUUGUAUAGUUCUGAUUUUUUUUAAUGUUAAACCAAUUUUAUCAUGUUCAGCUACAUGGUUAGAGCUGCCAAAUUAAAUAAUAUUGAAUGGACUUUAUCUGAGUUUGUAUUUGCAUAUUUUGGGGACUUACUUGAUAUUUCUCCUUACUUUGUUUAUUACUUGUUUCCAAGUUUCUCAAUGAAAAAUACUACUACUAAUAAUAAUAAAACUAGCAUGUGGGGAGUCAGGCGGUAAUGCAGUGGGUCAAGUGCACAUGGCACAAAGUGCAAGGAUCGAUAUUACGAUCCUGGUUCGAGCCCCCAGCUCCCCACCUGCAGGGGGUGUCUCUUCACAAGCAGUGAAGCAUGUCUGCAGGUUUCUAUCUUUCUCUCCCUCUUUCUGUCUUCCCCUCCUCUCUCUAUUUCUCUCUGUCCUAUCCAACAACGACAACAAUAAUAACCACAACAAUAAAACAAGGGCAACAAAAGAAAAUAAAUAAAUAAAA